AAAAGGUUCAGUUUAGGGUUUAAAACCCUAAUGCUGACUAAAAGAAAAAGUUCAGUUUAGGGUUUAAAACCCUAAUGCUGACUAAAAAGAAAAUUCAGUUUAGGGUUUAAAACCCUAAUGCUGACUAAAAGGAAAAUUCAGUUUAGGGUUUAAAACCCUAAUGCUGAUUGCAUGGAAAAGCUCAGUUUAGGGUUUAAAACCCUAAUGCUGGCUGAAAGGAAAAAGUUCAGUUUAGGGUUUAAAACCCUAAUGCUGACUAAAAGGAAAAUUCAGUUUAGGGUUUAAAACCCUAAUGUCGAUUGCAUGGAAAAACUCAGUUUAGAGUUUAAAACCCUAAUGCUGGCUGGAAGAAAAAGGUUCAGUUUAGGGUUUAAAACCCUAAUGCUGACUAGAAGGAAAAUUCAGUUUAGGGUUUAAAACCCUAAUGCUGAUUUCAUGGAAAAGCUCAGUUUAGAGUUUAAAACUCUAAUGCUGGCUGAAAGGGAAAAGUUCAGUUUAGGGUUUAAAAUGCUGACUAAAAGGAAAAUUCAGUUUAGGGUUUAAAACCCUAAUGCUGACUAAAAGGAAUAUUCAGUUUAGGGUUUAAAACCCUAAUGCUGAUU
rnacentral:lncRNA from 1 species